CAGUCGCCACGGGAAUACGUAGGGUGCAAGCGUUAAUCGGAAUUACUGGGCGUAAAGCGUGCGCAGGCGGUUAUAUAAGACAGAUGUGAAAUCCCCGGGCUCAACCUGGGAACUGCAUUUGUGACUGUAUAGCUAGAGUACGGCAGAGGGGGAUGGAAUUCCGCGUGUAGCAGUGAAAUGCGUAGAUAUGCGGAGGAACACCGAUGGCGAAGGCAAUCCCCUGGGCCUGUACUGACGCUCAUGCACGAAAGCGUGGGGAGCAAACAGGAUUAGAUACCCAGUAGUCCCUGUCUCUUAUACA
rnacentral:rRNA from 1 species